rnacentral:rRNA from 1 species
AUCUAUGGCUAUGCCAACCUGAACAAGCCCAAUCCCGUCUGAUCUCGGAAGCUAAGCAGGGUCAGGCCUGGUUAGUACUUGGAUAGGAGACCGCCUACAAAGACCAGGUGCUAUAGGCA